rnacentral:misc_RNA from 1 species
GAUGAAGAACGUAGCGAAAUGCGAUAAGUAGUGUGAAUUGCAGAAUUCCGUGAAUCAUCGAAUCUUUGAACGAACAUUGCGCCUCCUGGUAGUCCGGGAGGCAUGCCUGUUCGAGCGUCACCAAAUCCAACUCAAGCGGUUUUGCGCUUGGUCGUGGCGGAAGAGUCGGUCUGGUUGCCGUCUCCCCUCCGAAAAUCAACGGCGGAAAGUCACUGGCAGUCAGCGUAGUAGUAUCGUUCGCCGAACAUCCAGUGGCAUUCCUGCCGACGUACCCCCACAAUUCUCGUGAUUGACCUCGGAUCAGGUAGGGAUACCCGCUGAACUUAAGCAUAUCAAUAAGCGGAGGA